AGUCGAACGAACCCUUCGGGGUGAGUGGCGCACGGGUGCGUAACGCGUGGGAACCUGCCUUUAGGUUCGGAAUAACAGUUAGAAAUGACUGCUAAUACCGGAUAAUGUCUUCGGACCAAAGAUUUAUCGCCUUUAGAUGGGCCCGCGUUAGAUUAGAUAGUUGGUGGGGUAAUGGCCUACCAAGUCGACGAUCUAUAGCUGGUCUGAGAGGAUGAUCAGCCACACUGGGACUGAGACACGGCCCAGACUCCUACGGGAGGCAGCAGUGGGGAAUAUUGGACAAUGGGCGAAAGCCUGAUCCAGCAAUGCCGCGUGAGUGAUGAAGGCCUUAGGGUUGUAAAGCUCUUUUACCAGGGAUGAUAAUGACAGUACCUGGAGAAUAAGCUCCGGCUAACUCCGUGCCAGCAGCCGCGGUAAUACGGAGGGAGCUAGCGUUGUUCGGAAUUACUGGGCGUAAAGCGCACGUAGGCGGCUUUUCAAGUCAGGGGUGAAAUCCCGGGGCUCAACCCCGGAACUGCCCCUUGAAA
rnacentral:rRNA from 1 species